rnacentral:rRNA from 1 species
CGGAGAGGGAGCAUGAGAAACGGCUACCACAUCCAAGGAAGGCAGCAGGCGCGCAAAUUACCCAAUCCUGACGCAGGGAGGUAGUGACAAUAUAUAACGAUACAGGGCCAUUGGUCUUGUAAUUGGAAUGAGUACAAUGUAAAUACCUAAACGAGGAACAAUUGGAGGGCAAGUCUGGUGCCAGCAGCCGCGGUAAUUCCAGCUCCAAUAGCGUAUAUUAAAGUUGUUGCAGUUAAAAAGCUCGUAAUUGAACUUUGGGUUCCGACGGGCGGUCCACCUAUGGUGCGUACUGCUCUGUUGGGAUCUUUCCUUCUGGCUAGCCUUUUGGCGAACCAGGACGUUUACUUAGAGAAAAUUAGAGUGUUCAAAGCAGGCCUUUGCUCGAAUAUAUUAGCAUGGAAUAAUAGAAUAGGACGUAUGGUUCUAUUUUGUUGGUUUCUAGGACCAUCGUAAUGAUUAAUAGGGACGGUCGGGGGCAUCAGUAUUCAGUCGUCAGAGGUGAAAUUCUUGGAUUGACUGAAGACUAACUACUGCGAAAGCAUUUGCCAAGGACGUUUUCAUUAAUCAAGAACGAAAGUUAGGGGAUCGAAGAUGAUCAAAUACCGUCGUAGUCUUAACCAUAAACUAUGCCGACUAGGGAUUGGCAGGGCACUUUUGUCCUUGUCAGCACCUUACGAGAAAUCAAAGUUUUUGGGUUCUGGGGGGAGUAUGGUUGCAAGGCUGAAACUUAAAGGAAUUGACGGAAGAACACCACCAGGAGUGGAGCUUGCGGCUUAAUUUGACUCAACACGGGGAAACUCACCAGGUCCAGACGUAAUAAGGAUUGACAAGUUAGAGACUUCUCUUGAUCUUACGGGUGGUGGUGCAUGGCCGUUUUUAGUCCUUGGAGUGAUUUGUCUGCUUAAUUGCGAUAACGGACGAGACCUUAACCUGCUAAAUAGGGCUGCGAGCAUUUGCUCGUGGGCUCUUCUUAGAGGGACUAUGGGUAACAAACCCAUGGAAGUUUGAGGCAACAACAGGUCUGUGAUGCCCUUAGACGAUCUGGGCCGCACGCGCGCUACACUGACGGAGCCAGCAAGUACAACCUUGGUCGAGAGGCCCGGGUAAUCUCGUGAAACUCCGUCGUGCUGGGGAUAGAGCUUUGUAAUUUUUGCUCUUCAACGAGGAAUUCCUAGUAAGCGCAAGUCAUCAACUUGCGUUGAUUACGUCCCUGUUCUUUGUACACACCGCCCGUCGCUACUACCGAUUGAAUGGCUAGUGAGGCUUCAAGAUUGGCGCCGCAGGAGGGGCAACUUUCCGGCAGCGCUGAGAAUUUAGUCAAACUUGGUCAUUUAGAGGUCGUAAAAGUCGUAACAAGGUAACC